GCAAAACAAUAUAUUCAAGAACAAAGUGUUCCGAUAGUCAUCAAAGCAGAUGGAUUGGCUGCUGGAAAAGGAGUUAUUGUUGCUACGACGUUGGAGGAGGCCUAUGAAGCUGUUGAUGCAAUGCUUGUGAAGGGUGCUUUUGGUUCAGCUGGUGGCCGUGUCAUUGUUGAAGAAUAUCUGGAAGGGGAAGAAGCAUCCUUUUUUGCACUUGUAGAUGGAGAGAAUGCUAUACCCUUAGAAUCUGCACAGGAUCAUAAAAGAGUUGGGGACGGUGACACGGGACCUAAUACAGGUGGUAUGGGUGCUUACUCCCCAGCUCCUGUCAUAACAAGGGAAC
rnacentral:lncRNA from 1 species